UUGCAGGUUAUGUGACUGUUUUUUGUUUUUUGUUUUUUUAGUUUUUUUAAAUAUGAAAAUUUCAUCAUUUCACAUUGUCAGUUAUUUCAUAUUAUACCACUGUAAUUUUCUGUAACAGCAGCUCUGACAGUUGUUCUGGCUACAAAGUGAAUCAUGCUAUAAAAAUACAUUAUUGUUUCUAUGGUAACAAUGAAUUCAUCAUUUAUGGAAGGAGUCUCCAGUGUUAGCAGUUUGUAACAGUUUGUAAAAGCCAUCUCUUUAGGUUUUCAGGCAUUUUUUGUUUUAUCACCUUAAAGAAUAAGUGAUGGAACCUAUAUAUAUAUAGCUGCUAUUUACCUCCUCUUUGUGCAAGGUCACAUUACACCAUCAUGUCGUUGAUUAUUUUCCUAUAACAGCACAGCUCUAAGUGUUUUAUUCCUUACAUAUUUGGUGUGUGAUCACUGAAAAUAAGGUCUUAACACCUAGUUAGCUAUAAUAGUGUUCCCUUGACUAUUUUAAAAUGUUUUUUGAAUGGUUAAAUCAUACAUUGCAGGAAUGUUUUUAUUACUGAUGUUUUCCUUCUUGCAAUUUCUAACGUUAUCUCAAAUCAUUUGUUGGAAAUUGAUUCCUGUUUAGAAGAGUCCAGAAAAAAAGAGCCCAAGACUUAUACAGUCUCUCUUUACAUAUAUUAAAAUAAUAUCAAAUAAAAUAUGUAAAAAUGAUGUAGCCUUGUCCAUUUUUCUUCAGGCACAGGCACAAUGAUAUUGGCUGGAACAAAGCCGGUAUCACUCAGCACUUCAUUCGAACUCUGCAAUUUUUUUUUUUUUUUUUUUUUAGGUUGGCAGUGUAUAAUGGGCCUAAGAGGCAGAGGAACCAAGAAAGAAGCCCGAAAAUUUCACAUCGACGCCUAUAAUCCGGAGCUAUCUCCCGAUGAGCGAGGGAGAAAGAGAGAGAGAGAGAGAGAGAGAUGGAGGAAGAGAGGACGAGGGAGAUAGUGAGGGAUGGAGAGAGACUUGACGAGACACUCCGAGAAUAACACUUUACAUUUUGUCGCCGUUUCCGAAUCUCGGAUCUCUGACUGUGCCACACAACCUCUACAGCCACCAUUUUUCCUCUGGUUCUUUUUAAUUGAAUGUGGACCAGGCACCUCGGACGGAAAAAGACACCCUUUUUUUUUUUUCUGGAGCAAGCGCUGUUGCAUCCAAUUACAGAUAGGGAGAGGAGGGGGGCUAGCUAAAGCCCAGGAAGAGUUUAUGACCCUUUCCACACAUCUGGGAUGAAAAGCAGGCUGUUUUUUUUUUUUUUUCAAGCUUGAGGAGAGGCACAGGCAUGUCUGCGAGAAAAGAAGUGGAGAAAACAGCUUUUUUUUUUUUUUGAGGCUUGCUGGGCUGUCUUGACGGCGGCGAAGCAAGUUAACGACAUGCAAAUGAAAUGCGAGUACGCCGUAUCUUCACUCCACGGCCUAAUGAGAAAUUCCGGGAUUUUUCCAGCACACAAACAGAGGAAACCCCCCCCACACCAUAACUACAAAACGUCUGGAUGUCUGUAGGGUGCUUUAAAAAACACCAUUUGCCUGCAACAAGCCGAUUUGGAACAGUGCCACCGAUAAAAAUGUGUCUUGCCAGACCAGACCCAUAAAAAGAGACAUUUAAAUUCUCCCGAGGUUACGUAUUGGGCAUAAAUGAGCAACUCCAGUCCACAGUAAUCAGUUCCACAGGCUCGGCUGCAUUAGAAGAUUCAGUGAGGUCAUCGAGUGUGUAACGCGGCUGGCGAGCACCGCGCAUCUUUGCAAAUGUGACCACAAUGAGUCAGGGCGAAGCAGCAGCGGAGAAAACAUGGAGCUGGAGUCUGGAACGAAAAAGGGAAGAAAAUACAGCAGUGUGAUGAUGAUGAUGAUGAUGAUGAUAACGGGGGUUACAAGGUUUAAAUAGAGAAGGAGGGAGGGAGGUAAGGUAUGUAUGUGUGUGUGUGUGUGUGUGUGUGUGUGUGAAGUGGCCAGUGUGAGAUUAUAAAACAAAGCCUGACCUAAACUGGCCUGACUGUAGUAGAUUUUUCAAUACUGACUGCUGGACGUGAUCAAUACAGUAAAGGUGUGUAAUAAAAUAUAAUAUUUUAAUAUAAUAAUUUCCAUAUUUAUUUUUAACAAAUGAAAUAAGAAAUGUAAAACGGUCUAAUUCUAUACUGUAUAUAAACCAUAUUCUAUGUCUCUCCUCAUGCCAAAUCCCCAUAAACAGUCAUUUCUCGAAGACCCAUGGAUAAAUAACACAUCAGCUGGACCUGAAGAAAGGAUCAGACAGACGUUUCUCCAUUUUCCCAGCGACGCCAGUUGUGUUUUCCAUAACUGAGUGGAACACGUGGUGAUAAAUACCGACCCAGUGUGUUUCUUUUCUUGAGUCUUCCUGCAGUUCUGCUUUUGUCUGAGUGACGGAGGCAUACAUUGUUGACAGUCGUGCCCCAGGCCAAGCCUGCAGAGCCUCUCAUGUCUCUUUGCGGGGCCUCCGUGAUCCCCCCCGCCCCCAUUCCUUUACGCACACACACACACAUACACACACGCACGCACACAGCAUGUGUACAAACUACAGACACAGGGAGGUACAAAGGGCCAGGGCUUCGUUCUUUAGUUUUUCUCUUUAGUGGAGAAGCAUGGCUUCCAUUAUUCUCCCCCCACCAACCAGAAAAACCUUGCAUUUCUGUGAGUGUGUGUGUGUGCUUUAUUUCAUUCAUAAAUCCUGCUUUACAUACACGCAAAACAUUUUUUUCCAUAGAAGACAUAUCUCAAACUCUUUGGCACUUGCACACAAAGUCACUAGUACACUCACUCACCAGUUCUUCCACUGGCAAAUCUGUACUAGCAACUUCAGGCCUUUUUUUUUUCUUUUUUGAAGUCUCUCUCCGCGUGAUGCUGUCAACGGCUAACCAAAUCUUGCCACGGAUCCAUGCAAAUUGUGCAUCAAGGGGUGUCUCGGUUUACCGAGUAAAACAGGCGUGUAUUAAGAGCAUGCCUUGCGUGUGUUAAGAGGCGUACUCUCAAUGGAAUGUGGAAGGGAAAGAAGCCAUUGAGAAGAAAAGCGAGACGUCUCUGUGGAGAGAGAGAGAAAGAGAAAGAGAGAGGAAGAGAAAGACAGAGAGAGCAUGGAUAAACCAAACCGUCUGCUCUUAUACGUAGAUGAUGUUAACUCCACUUACAAAGUCUCGGUUGAUCUGUAUAAAGAUGUCCAGGAAUAAUAAGAUUUAGCCCAAUUAGAAAACAUGUUGUGGUGUGUGUGUGAGAGAGAAAGAGAGAGAGAGAGAGAGAGAGAGAAAGAGAGAGAGAGAAUGAGAGCAUGGGAAAUCAAACAGAUCUCAUCAUCUAGACGGUGUUAAUCUCAGACAUAAAGUCCUGCUUGAUCUGUUUUAAGAUGUGCAGUCUUGCAUAUAGUGACAGUGCCAUUAGCCCGGGGAGGAAUAAUGAGAUUUAGCUCAAUUAGAAGACAUUAUAAGGUGUAGCGAGAGAGAGAGAGAAACAGAAAGUGAAGGAUAGCAAGUGAGUGAAAGAAUAGGUAUGUUUUCAUCCAAAUGUUUUGCAAAUAUUAAGCAAAUUUCUGGAAAGACUGGCAGGAAUCGUUGCAUUUCCAUGAAUUACUGGUUAAUAGAAGCGAGCCCAACAAAGUGACGUAAUAAAAUGAGCAAGAGCAAAACAUGUGUCAUGGAGAAUGUUCCCUCAAGCAAGCACACACACACACACACACACACACACACAUAUAUAUAUAUAUAUAUAUAUAUAUAUAUAUAUAUAUAUAUAUAUAUAUAUGUGGGUGUUUUACAUUUUUCAUGUUUCUUUGGUGGGGCAGGAAUUCUAAAUUCACAUAAAUCAGGUGGAGAGAAACAACACUAACACAAGGGGAAACUUGUACAACCCCAGACCUCCUGAUCCUUCACCUGAACACACCAGUGCAUCCGACAGGCGCCAUUUGACAAACAACAGGUUCCUUCAGGACUAUGGAAGGUGCAUUGCUGAUACCACCCACAAAGCAGGAGCUGCGGUCCCCACCAUUGGGUUAAAUGCAGAAGCUACGCUGAGUCAAGCAAAAAAAAAAAACCCUAGCUCCCUUGAGCACCCAAGAAGAAAUGUCUUUACAAAUUGAUUUAUGUAUUACCAACCUCGCCAGUGGCCUCUGAACCAUCCAUUAAGAUACCACACACUGCAGCCACUAAGCCGACAGAACAGGAGGAGAAACCUUUCAGUGGUGGGGGGGACGGCUAGGGGAAGUGGUACAGGAAGCUUAGCUAGUCAAUUCAAAUCCAGAUCUCUCAAUCUCUGGAUGACUAAAACUAUAAAAUUAGAUCUGUUUCCAAGUGGUGCAACAGAAACGCAUUCACCCUAUUGUCAGGAGAUCACUGAUGCCGAAUCCAUGGCUGGAAAUCCAAGAGAGCAAAAUUGGCUGUGCUGUUUGAGUGGGAGGGAUGACAUGAUCUCUCCCCUGUCAAUCAGAGCAACAUUAACCAAUCAUGGGUGUCUGUGUGGUUUAGAGGGAUGCUAGCGCUGUCCUCCAAUGUGUAUAGCUACCGUGUUGCGUCAGCAACAGUUCAAACAGAUAGAGGGAGGAAGGAGGAUUAGAAGGCGCUUUACCCUUUACCCUCACUGAUUGGUAGCUGUUGUGGUUACUGGAAUAUGAAUAAAUUGGUAGAAAAUGGAGUAAAACAGGUUACAAAAAAAAAAGAACAGAACUGCAUCCAAUGAAAAGACAUAAGCCAGCCUUAACUAGUUCAAGUUUUAUCACACACUAUCCAAUAAAUCAAUCUAGCUUCCUGUAUCAAAGCACUCAGCUUUGCUGUGUCUCCCUCUGUUUGAGAAGCGGAGAGCAUGAAUACUGCGGAUAAGUUCAGAGCUAGUUCUGCAUACAAAGAACCCUCAUAAUUGAGAGAGAGAGAGCACAGUCUCAUGAAUGCAAAUUUGUAAUAACUCACACUAUUGUAAAAGUUUCACUUAAGAUUUGAGUCAUUUCAGCCUCCCAUUUUUGUACACCUUUCUAGCUUCAGAAUCUUUAGAGUUUAAGCAUUAUGAUUGGUUCUCCAUACUUCCAUAUGCUGGUUUCCAGUGUGAAAACACUGCAACACAAUAAGCUUUUCAAAGCAAGAUCUAACGACUGGACUGAAAAAUAUUCCCAUUUUUAAAAGAAUUAUGAAGUUUGAAGCACUAAGUGAUGAAUACACAGGAUAAUCUAGUGUGUUUUCCAACAGGCUAUGGGACGAGGUCUGUGGUUGGUCAGCUGCCACGUCAGUCAAAUUGUGUCUUUCUGUGAAAGUAGUUGGAUCUUGGCCACAUUUAUUAAGCAAACGUACCAUACUCUCUAGCUAGAAGUCUGGCUUGUGAGACUAAAGUAAGGGUGAGUGGAGGAACUUAGCAGUCAUAGCCUUUAUUAUGAGCUUCAUUUGAUUAAGAGCAUACUCUGCUUACUGCCUCCUUAUUAAAGCUCUCAGUAUCUAAUAACUAAUAAACAGAAUGUCAACACUAUAAGAUUGGCUAUUGAGGAAAGUUAAGGAAACCACAAUGUCUUUUAGCUAGAAAUCUGAACAAGACCACAUACAUACGUGGCACCAGUAGACCCCAGAAAAAAAAAAGAAAUGGCUGGGUGCAAAGUGAACCCAGAAGUACCGGAUCAUCAAGUCAAACCUUUGCCCCGUAAGCCCUACUUGCUUUGCUGGGUUCUUCUGCCAAGGCAGAGGUCUUGGGUUGGGACUCCACACUGACUCCACAUAUGAUGCUUAUUAAGGCCCAGUUGGAGCCCGUGGCUCUUAACCAAAUGGUGUGGGGAAUUCUGGGAACACAGGGCUGACUUAAGUGUUAAUAGAGACCGUUCCAGCACCAGCAGCAGCAUUCCAAAGUAGGCGUAUCCAUAAAAAAGUGACAAUGAAGGGGCUGGAGGGUUCCUUGGAGUUGGGAUUAUAUGCAAUACCAAGACUUUUUGUAAGAAGCAGCAUACUCUGGCUUCUACAACGUCAUUCACUAUUUCCUUGCUGUCUAUAAAAGAUCUUUAUUUUUUAAUAUUUCUUUCCCAAAAGUGUUUCUUCUUCACACAUUCUUGAGGCCUCCUUCAUUUCUGACUGAACCUGGACCUUUGUAGCUGUGAUGUGAUACAGUUCACUGUAAAUAGCUCUGAAGGAAAUAAAAUUGAUUUGAAUUGAGCUGAGCCAAAUUCUGCGUCAUGGUGUAGCCUCUAAAAUUUCCUUACUGUCUGUGAGCUUGUCAUGCGGUUAAGUUGAGAAGUGCCCUUUGAAUAUAUUGUUAAUCUACAGAUAGUUUAUGUCUUAAUAAGUUGUCUGGACACAACAAGCCACCAGAACAGCUUCAAUGCACCUUAUGAACACCUUAUGAACGAUGAAUGCCGUUCUUCUAAAACGGCUGGUGUCUUGAUGAUGGGCAUGAAAAGCUUCCAUAUGUGUUCAGCUGAGUUGAGAUCUGGUAAGUGGGAAGGCUAUAUAUAUAGAUUUACAUCAUUUUUAUCCUGAUCAAAAAAAUUCACUGAGCCCUCAUGCCCUUGCAAAGGAUAAAAGAACCCAAACCAUGCCAGCCAAAUACAUUUCCAUUUAAAUAAAUUCCGUAUUAAUUAGUUAAAAAGUUACGGAACACAAAGCACUGCUUAAUAUUAUUGGCAUAGGAAAGACGUUUAAUGUAGUCCAGUCCACAUUUUUUAUUUUGUCCGAACAAACACACUUGGGUCAGGCUGUCAAGGUGUGUUAGGAGUUGGAACAGAAUGAAAAUGUGAACUGGUAAUUUAUCUGACUGGAUUGGGAUCCCAUGUUCCAUGUAAACAUACCCAGCUGAUCUAGGAAGUAUUAUCUAUUUUAAAUUAGCCAAAUUAACAUAACACUGCUAGAAUAUUUUUAAAGAUGAACUGGUAAUACUUGAGGAUUUUUAGCAUUGUAGAAGACUUAUAUUUUUGACCUAGCAAUGGUGAAAAUGUGAAUUAGCAACAUGCCCUAGCUAUUAUUACACAUUCAAUAUGACAUAAGGCUGUGCUUGUGAUAUUUAAGACUCAGGUUUCAUUAAUCGAAUGUAAAGUUUACUGCCAUUCUCUGACUUCCUGUUUUUUUCUUCUGUCAGGUAUUUACAAUCCAAAUGGCACCUCCUCUGCAAUCGCUUUUGUUUAAAGUUGCUGACUUAAUUUAUGGAUGGUAAACAGUGACAAAGUGGAGUUCCUGCAAGGUUCAGCUGGAAGAAAACGACAGCGGAUGACAGCAAUUGUCUGGCUUAAAUCUUCAUCUAAACCGCAGUGAUUGACCAGCGUCCCCAUGCCAACGAGGAUCGCAUUAUAGCUGUAAUCCAUUUUUGCAGAUGUAAAGUGGACAUCUGCAGCUGAUGCACUGCGAGACAGACAGAGGCACAGCGUAAUGUCUAAGGAUAUCUAGAUUUCACUGCUCACUUCAGACUGAGACCAAACAAACCUUUACUUGAGGAAAAGACUCCACUUCUGGUUUGCUUUGAAAAGACACACAGCUUAUGCUGCCAUUGUUCAGUAGUUUAGGUCCUUUGACAGGAAGUUCAAUUUAUCUAGGCCUUAAAAACCUAGCCUAUGUUUGAGGUUUUCCCCACCAUUCUCUGUGUUUUCAAGCUUCUAAUUAUAAUAAAUAUAAGCAGCCAUUAAUUAGCCAUGGUCUCUGUAUGGAAGGGAUAGCAGUACUUCCUCCCCUGUCAAUCUGUGUGACAUUGACUAAUCAUGGGUGUCUCUGAGCUCAGGUAUGUGAAAGAGGGCAGACUACACUUUCGUCCAGCUGUGUGCAGCUGCCCUGUGAUGAUCAAAAAGAUAUGGGUGCCUGCUUCUUGGAGAUACUGUGGAAGAACAUUAGUUGCUGCUGAGCAACUGCCGAGAGCUAGCUAGUGGGUGGCAAAUGUUAAAUGGCCAAAUUAGCAGAAAAAAAGACAAAAAAAGGGCAAUCAUGCGUACGAAAUAGUAACAUUUCCUAUGUAAAUGUCAGCAGAAUUUGGGGUGGGACACUGUAUGGUUUAAUAUUCUGUCAAGGAAUAUAUCAUUAAUCCAAGGUAAAGCCAUUACUUCAUUCUCUAUGUAAAUAUAUUAGCCAUUUGUGAUUCAGCAAAACAUAAUGUCUUUGCCAAACCAAAAGUUGGAAGACUGAGCGCAAAACAGCCUGCAAAACGUACUUAUCAGGUUCUAACAGCUAGGACAGGGGUGUGACCCAAAGAUUUGAAAUUUCCCUCCUCUGACACACUGGAUUAAACUGAUCCUGAUCAGGGUCUUUGUCGAUCCAAAGCCUAUCCUGGGAAUGGGAAUCUGGAUGGGAUGCCAGAUCAUCACACAUUCGCACACUCAGGGAGUUUUCUGGGAGCUAGAGAAAACCAGAGAACCUGGAGGAAACCCACAAGAACAAUGAAGAACAUGUGAAAUAUAUAGACAGUAACUUAAGCUAAGCAUCAAACCAGGAACCCUGGAGCUCUGAGGCAGCAACCAUAUACGUAUACCAUAUACAUUGCCAUAUACGUGCUCUAGACAACAUUAAGCUACAUAAUCACACUUUAAAAUAAGGUAAAACUCAUUUUUUUGUUUAAAAAAAGUUUAGGUAGUCUGUAUUUAUGUAUUUGACUGGAACUAUAAUUAUCAUCUGUAUCACUUCCCGCUUUACAACACAGUUCCACUUUUAAAUGUUGGGGGGUUGAGUCUAGUAGGUCCAGUAAUUCUAAACUACACUACGUUAAAAAAAAAAAAAAAAAAAAAAAGGGAUUUUGGUUGUCCAAGAUGGCUGCCCUAAAAUAUAAUUGUAUAUUUUUAAAAAUUUUAAAUAUUAUAUUUUUAAAAUAUAAUUGGUGAAAUUCUGCUCAUGUUUAUAAGUAAUACUCUGUGACUUUAAUUUACAGCUAGCUAUGUUAGCCUUGUAGCACCAAUGCAAAAAUAAAGAAGUAAACG